rnacentral:rRNA from 1 species
GUCAUAUGCUUGUCUCAAAGAUUAAGCCAUGCAUGUCUCAGUACAAGCCGAAUUAAGGUGAAACCGCGAAAGGCUCAUUAAAUCAGUUAUGGUUCCUUAGAUCGUACCCACAAUUACUUGGAUAACUGUGGUAAUUCUAGAGCUAAUACAUGCAAACAGAGCUCCGACCGGAGACGGAAGGAGUGCUUUUAUUAGAUCAAAACCAAUCGGUGGCGGGUUCGCUCGUCAUCGUACAACUUGGUGACUCUGAAUAACUUUACGCUGAUCGCACGGUCAUCGCACCGGCGACGCAUCUUUCAAAUGUCUGACUUAUCAACUGUCGAUGGUAGGUUCUGCGCCUACCAUGGUUGUAACGGGUAACGGGGAAUCAGGGUUCGAUUCCGGAGAGGGAGCCUGAGAAACGGCUACCACAUCCAAGGAAGGCAGCAGGCGCGCAAAUUACCCACUCCCGGCACGGGGAGGUAGUGACGAAAAAUAACGAUACGGGACUCAUCCGAGGCCCCGUAAUCGGAAUGAGUACACUCUAAACCCUUUAACGAGGAUCAAUUGGAGGGCAAGUCUGGUGCCAGCAGCCGCGG